rnacentral:rRNA from 1 species
GGUUCGAUUAUGGCUCAGAUUGAACGCUGGCGGGAUGCUUCGCUACAUGCAAGUCGAACGGCAGCACGGACUUCGGUCUGGUGGCGAGAGUGGCGAACGGGUGAGUAAUGUAUCGGAACGUGCUCAGUAGUGGGGGAUAACUACGCGAAAGCGUAGCUAAUACCGCAUACGCCCUUCGGGGGAAAGCGGGGGACCUUUCGGGCCUCGCACUUUAUUAGAGCGGCCGAUAUCGGAUUAGCUAGUUGCAGUAACGGCUCACCAAGGCGACGAUCCGUAGCUGUUUUGAGAGGACGACCAGCCACACUGGGACUGGGAGAUUACCGGCCCAGACUCCUACGGGAGGCAGCAGUGGGGAAUUUUGGACAAUGGGGAAACUCCUGAUCCAGCCAUCCGGCGUGUGCGAUGAAGGCCUUCGGGUUGUAAAGCACUUUUGGCAGGAAAGAAACGGCAUCGGGAUACCCCGUGCAACUGACGGUACCUGCAGAAUAAGCACCGGCUAACUACGCCAGCAGCCGUACGUAGGGUGCAAGCGUUAAUCGGAAUUACUGGGCGUAAAGCGUGCGCAGGCGGUUCGGAAAGAAAGAUGUGAAAUCCAGAGCUUAACUUUUGGAAUCGCAUUUUUAACUACCGAGGUGCCAGAGUGUGUCAGAGUGGAGGUGGGAAUUCCGCGUAGCAGUGAAAUGCGUAGAUAUGCGGAGGAACACCGAUGGCGAAGGCAGCCUCCUGUAUAACACUGACGCUCAUGCACGAAAGCGUGGGGAGCAAACAGGAUUAGAUACUCCUGGUAGUCCACGCCUCUAAACGAUGUCAACUAGCUGUUGGGGCCUUUCGGGCCUUGUAGCGCAGCUAACGCGUGAAGUUGACCGCCUGGGGAGUACGGUCGCAAGAUUAAACUCAAAGGAAUUGACGGGGACCCGCACAAGCGGUGGGAUGAUGUGGAUUAAUUCGAUGCAACGCGAAAACCUUACCUAAUUUUUGACAUGUCUGGAAUCCCGAAGAGAUUCGGGAGUACUGCAAGAGAACCGGAACACAGGUGCUGCAUGGCUGUCGUCAGCUCGUGUCGUGAGAUGUUGGGUUAAGUCCCGCAACGAGCGCAACCCUUGUCAUUAGUUGCUACGAAAGGGCACUCUAUCGAGACUGCCGGUGACAAACCGGAGGAAGGUGGGGAUGACGUCAGUCCUCAUGGCCCUUAUGGGUAGGGCUUCACACGUCAUACCGGUCGGGACAGAGGGCUCUCAACCCGCGAGGGGAGCCAAUCCCAGAAACCCGAUCGUAGUCCGGAUCGCAGUCUGCAACUCGACUGCGUGAAGUCGGAAUCGCUAGUAAUCGCGGAUCAGCAUGUCGCGGUGAAUACGUUCCUGGUCUUGUACACACCGCCCGUCACACCAUGGGAGUGGGUUUUACCAGAAGUAAAGUUAGCCUAACCGUAAGGAGGGCGAUUACCACGGUAGGAUUCAUGACUGGGGUGGCCGUAAUAAAGGUAG